rnacentral:lncRNA from 1 species
UAUAUUAUUAUUUUAGUUUAGGAUUAAUUUGAUAAAUCAAUUAUUUAUAAAAUAAUUAUUAGUAAGAUUGUUGUAAGGAUAUCAAACAUUGCUUUAAGUUGGUUGAUAUUAAUCUAUUUAUAAAAAAAAAAAGGUAAGGAUAAGAAUAAAACAUAUGUAAUAGUAGGUUUUCUAAAGUAUUUUUUAGAAUAUAUGGACUAAAUAGUUUUUUAAGUUAAAAUAUAGGGACUAAAUAAGUAAUAACUUAUAUUUGACCCAUAUGUUAAAUGAGGGCCGAUAAAACAUCACAAAAUGGGUUUAAAAAGUGUACUUGAAAAUUUUGAAUAAAAAAAUAUUUAAAAAGCGAUAAAUAAAGAUAAUUUUGAAAAUAAUUGGAAUGAUUAAAAAAUAAGAGUUAAUGAGAUAAAAUGAAACCAAUUAAUUUGGAUCUGGUACUAUGUAAGCCAGGUUUGUGGAUCAUCAAUGACAAUUUAUAGUAAAUAAGUAGAAAUAGGUGGGGGUAAAGAUGGAUGAGAAUGAGGAGAGGAAGCGAGGGGCAAGAGGCAUGUGCACCGAUUUGGGGCAUAAUGGGUAAGAUGAUGCCAGGCACUCAGGCAGUGGCAGUUGGGGGUUCACAAAUCCGGGAGAAACGCCACGCACGUUCUUACCACCUCAUUUCAUGGGCCUCCUAACAGCUGUACCAAUCUGUUUCUGUCUGCCUCCACCUCCUUCCUUUCCUUUUCCAUAUUUGCCUUCUCUUUUCACAUUUAAAUCUCUUUUCAACACCCAUUAUUCCAUUUUUGCGGUGUGGCAUAUAUCUCUCGUAUUCUGUAUUCCUGUGUUGGGUUAUUUGUCUUUUAAUCAUCACCUCCCCGCCAGCCAACUUUUUUUUAUAAGUAUAGUAACUAAUUUUUUUUAAUAAGGGAUCCCUUAUUUUAUUUAAAAUAAAGAUUAUUUAAGAAAUAAAAAAUCACUUAUUUUAAUACAAAUUCCCUUAUCCAAGUCAUCACCAACAAUCAACUCUUAUCCCAUGGUGUCAAAGGGCGAGUUCCUUUCUUGUCUUGCCCAAGAACUUUUUUAUUCUCAUUAAUGAAAGACUCUCUUGUAGUAAGGAUUCACACACGCGCGCGCGCGCUCGCGUACACACACAUUCUUCUCUAGUGUAAAGAAAUUCUCAUUUUAUUAAAGUGAUGAUGUCACUAAAAUAUAAAAAAAAAAUCACAAAUUUUAAUACAUUGAUUUUUUUUUUGUUAGUGCAUUUGAAUCUAUAUUUUUCUUGAUAUGUUAAUGAGUUAUAAUAAGAAUGUCCUCCUUGUAUGUACAUAUUUAUAUAAUCAUUCUCACAUGCGGGCAUUUUUUUUUUUUAUGCAAAACAUUAUUAAGCCAUAUGAUUUUACAAAGUCAAUGCAAACAGGCUAUUAAAUUAUUUGUCUUUAUAGUGAAUUAAACGCUAACUCUAUUAAACCAUAUAUCUUAAUAGAGUAUCUGCAUGAAAAAAAAAAAGAGGAACUUUACUGAAUAUAAAAA